rnacentral:rRNA from 1 species
UUUGUUACUUCAAACCAAUCGGACUUCGGUCUGACAUCAAGUGAUAUUGAACAAUUUAGCUGAUCGCACGGUCUAAGAACCGGCGACAUAUCCUUCAAAUGUCUGCCUUAUCAACUUUCGAUGGUAGAUUAUGCGCCUACCAUGGUUGUAACGGGUAACGGAGAAUCAGGGUUUGAUUCCGGAGAGGGAGCCUGAGAAACGGCUACCACAUCCAAGGAAGGCAGCAGGCACGCAAAUUACCCACUCCCGGCACGGGGAGGUAGUGACGAAAAAUAACAAGCUGGUCUCAAUGAGUUCCAGCAUUGUAAUGGGAACAAUUUAAAUCUUUUAUCGAGGAUCUAUAGGAGGGCAAGUCUGGUGCCAGCAGCCGCGGUAAUUCCAGCUCCAAUAGCGUAUAUUAAAGUUGUUGCGGUUAAAAAGCUCGUAGUUGGAUCUAGGAUUAGGGCUACGGUCGUUCAGCUUGGACGUACUGUAUGCCCGACUCCUUUUCUCUAGUAUUCGAUUGUUGCUCUUAAAUGAGUGACUUUAGUUGCUGGAACUUUUACCUUGAAAAAAUUGAAGUGCUAAAGCAGGUUA